rnacentral:rRNA from 1 species
UUUUUUGGAGAGUUUGAUCCUGGCUCAGGAUGAACGCUGGCGGCGUGCCUAAUACAUGCAAGUCGAGCGGCAGCGCGGUCUUCGGACUGGCGGCGAG